rnacentral:rRNA from 1 species
CCUACGGGUGGCAGCAGUGAGGAAUAUUGGUCAAUGGGCGCGAGCCUGAACCAGCCAAGUAGCGUGAAGGAUGACGGCACUACGGGUCGUAAACUUCUUUUAUAAAGGAACAAAGUGAGGCACGCGUGCCUUGUUGAGUGUACUUUAUGAAUAAGCAUCGGCUAACUCCGUGCCAGCAGCCGCGGUAAUACGGAGGAUCCGAGCGUUAUCCGGAUUUAUUGGGUUUAAAGGGAGCGUAGGUGGGUUGUUAAGUCAGUUGUGAAAGUUUGCGGCUCAACCGUAAAAUUGCAAUUGAUACUGGCAGUCUUGAGUACAGUUGAGGUAGGCGGAAUUCGUGGUGUAGCGGUGAAAUGCUUAGAUAUCACGAAGAACUCCGAUUGCGAAGGCAGCUUACUAAACUGCAACUGACGUUGAUGCUCGAAAGUGUGGGUAUCAAACAGGAUUAGAUACCCCAGUAGUC